UACGUAGGGACCAAGCGUUGUUCGGAUUUACUGGGCGUAAAGGGCGCGUAGGCGGCUUAACAAGUCACUUGUGAAAUCUCCGGGCUUAACUCGGAACGGCCAAGUGAAACUGUCAAGCUAGAGUGUAGAAGGGGCAAUCGGAAUUCGUGGUGUAGCGGUGAAAUGCGUAGAUAUCAAGAGGAACACCUGAGGCGAAGACGGGUUGCUGGGCUGAUACUGACGCUGAGGCGCGAAAGCCAGGGGAGCAAACGGG
rnacentral:rRNA from 1 species